rnacentral:rRNA from 1 species
UCAGACGAUGCGUCAUGCAUAUCAAUAAGCGGAGGAAAAGAAACUAACAAGGAUUCCCUUAGUAACGGCGAGUGAAGCGGGAAGAGCUCAAAUUUGAAAUCUUCAAGGUUUUACCUUGACGAAUUGUAGUUUAAAGAAGUGUUUUCUGCUGAAGUUUUGGUAAAAGUUCUUUGGAAUAGGACAUCAUAGAGGGUGAGAAUCCCGUAUUUGACCAUUAUUUUCAACUUUGUGAUACACUUUCAAAGAGUCGGAUUGUUUGGGAAUGCAGUCCAAAAUGGGUGGUAAAUUUCAUCUAAAGCUAAAUAUUGGCGAGAGACCGAUAGCGAACAAGUACCGUGAGGGAAAGAUGAAAAGAACUUUGAAAAGAGAGUUAAACUAGUACGUGAAAUUGUCAAAAGGGAAGCGUUUGAACACCAGUGUUGUUUUCUCGAAAAUCAAUUAAAAAUGGCCUCGAUUUUGUAUUGCUUGAGACCUUAAAAGCUCACUGUACAUUUUUCGUGUCUUUUUUAAUGCACUUUUCGUUUAACAAGUCAACAUCAGUUUCUUUUGUUGUAAAAGGGUCAUUGGAAGGUGGCUUUCUUUUCGGAGAAAGUGUUUAUAGCCUUUGGCCUCUGCAAUCGGAGAGACUGAGGUCUGCAGCGUAGACUCUUCGGGGUUAGAUACAUUUGUGCUAAGUUAUAGCUUUUUAUAGACAACUUGUUGACUAUAAUUAGUCUUGUAGCUUACUCGCUUAUGCUAUUUUACCUACGCUUAGGAUGUUGACUGAUAUGUAGUCGUA